rnacentral:lncRNA from 1 species
CUUUCUGGGGGCAAAUUCAAUUUUAAAAAUUGAUCAUUGGAAGGGAAAACUAUCUUCCCCAGGUCUGUCACUGCAGAGGGCUCCUGGAUUUAAUACUCCUGAUUUUGCUUUGCCUGACACAGAUUUCUCUCUUUUUUUCUUCCACAGGUCAAAAUCAUUAACUUGUUGCUUCUCAAAAUCACUAGGACCCUCUUCUAAUAUAAUGUUGGGCUUUCUUCAAGUACCACACAAGAAGACAUCCCAGGGACAUCCGGAUCCCCAGCUAUUUCAUUUUACAUCUUGGUAUUACCUUCACUCCUCAGAGCUGAGUUCUAAGUCCAGUCACUUACUGAAAAUAUGACUUCCCAGGGAUCUUCAGACUUGGACAAAAUCUUGCCUGCUCCCUAUGGAUGAUUUAGAAAAGGUUCUGUUAGUGUCCAGAGAAGCAAGACUGUCCCAUGUGUGAAUCUCAUUGCCAAAGUAUGUGUGGGACAAUGUGAUGGACCUUAUCCAGCCAUUUAAAGUCUCAACGUGGUGGCUCUAAAAUGUGAAGAAGAUCUGGUGUUCAAGACCUGAGCCACAAAUUCUCUGGGACGUUCCCUCUGAACCAAAGAGCCCUGGAGGAGGGAAUUUUCUCUGAUGCUGUAGAGGAAGCUACUCUGUGAGUGGAAGUCUCUCCUCACACUCUCAAGGAGAACCAACACCUUCUUCCUAUGAGGCCCAGAGAACCAUUACAGGACUCCAUUGAAACAUGCAAUUAUGUGCAUUGCCUCAUGUAACCCUUUUAACCCACUAAAGAAAAAGACUGUUAAAAGUAGGUAUCUGUGUCUCCCUGAGAUGAGUAUGAUAACAUGAACAGCAACAUCGGCUGACCCUUACUGGAUUCUUUCUGUGCAUCUGCACUAUGUUGCCUGAGUUACACACAGUGUGUGGCCCAUACUACUUUCCAUAGAUGGUUGUGAUGUUUCCCCCAUCCUACAUGGACUUCUGCAGGGUGCCAUAGCCAUCACGCAGUCAGGAGAAGGAAUCUAAUUCCAUCCGCUCUGGCCUGAACUUACCUCAGUGACCGACUUGUGGCAGAGAUGUUGGUGGCAGAGCUGCCCCACUUUUCCAAGGCUGGCAUUGAAGAAGAGUCACAACCUCAGUCUUACUGUCUUUGAAUACUGCUUGCUGGGCUGGCCCCUCUGGGAAUUCAACCUCUGUUCCAGGGAUCUACAGACCACAGAAGGGCCACAUGUAGACUGGGGAAGGCAUGGUCACCUGAGCCUACCCUGUGAGUGAUCCGUACACUGGUGCCAUCCUGUGAGCACUGUUUUUCCAGAAUUACUUACCUUAGCCACUUGAGUCUCCUGGCCAGGGCCCAGUCUCUUGUGCUUCUUACAAAUUCCCGAACCACACCCACAAGGGCACUGAAACUGCUACACACCCAAGCCACUAGGUUUGGGUGGGUUUGCUAUGCAGCAGUAGGUAACCAGGCCCUUCACAGGGCUACAAGGU